CUUCGAUCCUGCGGCAAUCCGAAAUAUCAACGAAUCUUUGGAUAAGGUGGAGGGAGAUAAAAGUGCAACAGUUCUUGUUACAACAAAUGAGGGAAAGUUCUUUUCCAACGGGAUGGAUGCAAAAUACUUGAGACAAGUUGAUCUUAACACGGCCAAGGUGACACAUG